GGGGUGUUGAUAAUGAACGUUGUCUGUAUUACAUAUACGCAUACAUGUAUCCGAUACAUAAUAAUUAUUACGUAACGAUUACAAACAAUAACAUAGUAAUAAUGUACGUUUAAAAGUCUAGUUACGCGUUAAAGUUUAUUAGUUGAUUUGCUAAAGCGAACGAAAAGUAAAGGAAGUAUAUAUAUAACUCAUUAUAGUGCCAUCGUAACUGACUAAUUAAAAGAAAUACCAAUUUUUUAUGUUUUAAGUAGCCGUAAAAACUACUCCCGUAGGCUCUUAACGAUUUGCGAGAAGUUUUCUUCUUCUUUUUCUUUUUUUUUUUUUUUCCCUUCGUUCUUAUUCUUCUUUCUUCUUCUUGCGGCGUUCAAGACAAAGACUCGUUUCGCGUUCCGUUGUCGUUGAUUAUUGUCAUUGACACCACGUGACAGGGGGCGUCGCGCGUGGGAGUGGGUCUCUUACGUCAUAGCCAUACGUACGCGAUCCUUUCUCGUGUAUUUGCACACGGAAACGAUUUCCGCAUAUACACUUUUAGACACGCACUGUACACUGAUACUUUUAUCACACGCACAGAUAUAUUUACAACCCCCCCAACUUACCCCCUCUUCAACCCCCUUGCCCAUUGGGGGGGGCGCUCUUCCUCCCAUACCACCCCUAACGCCGUACCCUCACGCGCGCGCCCACGCUUUCCAACAUUUGGAUUCAUCGGCUGCUGACGAUUUUGACAAUUGAAAGGAGUCGCGUAAGUUGAAAUUCUUUUUUCUUUUUUUUUUCUUUUCUUCUUCCUGCCCGACAUACGAUUCUGCACGCUCGACGUCGCGCGACGCUUACGAAUAAAUAUAAUGCGGUUGAAUAAUGUUGAUUUUACAUUAUUACGUAGUAAUGUUAUAUUAUUAUAGGAUCGCAACUCUUUAUUUGUACGUAUCUCAUUUUUCGGUGCUCGACAUACCCAAUUAUUGUUACUACUAUUAUUACUAUUAUUAUUAUUAUUAUUAUUAUUAUUACUGAUUCUUACGAUUAUAAUAUCAUAUUGCCUAUUGUCGAUCGGUAAUUAUAAUUAUCAGAGUUAUUGAUUAAUGAUGGUUAUUUGAUAUAAUGCUCUAUGCACAUCACACGCAUAUACAUACAAUCAUGUAAACACGUAAAACAUUGUGGUUAUAUUUCAAUGUAUCAGCAUAAUGAUAUAAUUAUUGCGAUGUUGCCCAUAGAAUACAUUUUACUUGGUUUUUAUAUUUGGCAGUAUUUCAUUUAUACGUCUUCUUAUUCCAUCGCUGUUUACCUUUGGCUCUCUUUGUUGCGUCUAUCAUUUUCUUUUCCUGUUUUCUUUACCUUUUUUUCCCUUUUCUUCUUUGUUCCGGCUUUCCCUUUACGCGAGUGCUCGGUUCUUUGGUGAUUCUUUGUUGGUAACGCUUUGGGUUUUUUUUUUUCGUAUUUUGUCGCGCUCAAUUUGUUUUACACAAUCGUAUAAUACGACGAGGGAAAUGAAAAUUGGGGUGAAUAGGUUUUUUUUUUUUUGACGGAAGACGUUGUACGCUUAUUACAAAAUGCCACAAUUGUUAACCGUGAAGAUGUUGUUUUCCUCGAAACUAAUUCUUUCGUUCUUUGAAUAAUUUUCGACUUCCGAAAUACGCACGAUAAUAUUAUUAUUGUAUUAGGCUCAUAAUUGUUGUUAAUUAGGAAAAAGUACACUAUUUGUUAUUGCUCGCCAGUGAAGAGAUCUCGUGAUGGCUUUCACGAGCAGGUAUAGAUUAGACGAUAAUCAUGUAAAUAAACGAAUCCCACGUAAUAACGUACUAUUUACCAAGUUAAUGAUGGCCGAGAUGGUUAAAUCACUGCGAAGCUCAUUUGACAAGGUUUUUUCAAUUCCGACAGUUUGAAUCGCGCGCGCAAUCGGAAUCCAUCGUUUCCGGGCUGCACGCGAGUUUCACUCGCGAAGUUCCUGUCGUUGUUUUUCUCCCUGGGAUGUAAAUAUGUAAUAUAUAUCGGGCUGUACUUACCAUCACUUAUUAUCGGCACCUGAGCACUUACAAUAUUCACGAAAGAUACGAGGCAUCGCAUAUAUACAUAUAUAUUUUAUUAAUCGAUUCUCAUUGACGACUGAUCAAUCGAUGUCCGUUCGAUUACGGAAAACAAUGUUGAAAGUCGAUCGUACGAAAUAUAAAUGAAUACACGUAUACCGAAUUAACUUUACACGCGUAUCAUUGUCAAAUGGGCUUCGAUGUUCUUCACUGUUCUUCCACCGUUAAGCAAAGGAGGAAGAAAAAGAAAAACAGUUAAGGGAAAUCAUUAAACGACAGCGAAUCAUUUCGAUACCUACGAACGUGAUCCGUUCCAUCGAGUAAAAGUAUAACGAAUAAAUCCUCCGAUGUUGUAUUUUACAAAGACACUAUUCUUCUAUGGCAGAAUCGCGUAAGUCUCCGAUGUACAGUUCAUUUAAUACAAUUUGUACUUAGACAUGUCGGAAACUGUCGUGACGAGGUGUAACGUUUGUUGGGAGAAUUAGUUUUGUGAAAAGGGAUAAAAGUGACGCUACAAAGAUCAUCUCGAGGGAACGGAAUUAUGGUAAAUAAUUGCUUUUCCUUGUUGGAUUGCGCAAUUGGUGACGUGCAGUUUUUAAAAGAGACAAAAUACGAACGUUGAGGGAAUGCAGGAUAAUCUUUUUGUGUCUUUUAUUGUAAUUAACGAUUAUUUUGUACAAUUCCUUUUGAGGGUUAUGAUUAUCCGUUAUGCGGAAUUCAAAAUACUGGCCGUUAUUUUGCAGAACAAGGUAAUUUCGUUCGCGACCGUUAACUCUUUACGUUAAUCGUGUGUCAGAUCGUUUUGUGUUUUAAUGUUAAAGAUUUUUCAAAAUAACGUCAAGUUGAAUACUCGCGCGUAACAGUUGGUGCUGUCUUACGACGGGAGUUUUGAGAGUUCGUUACAUACUAGAGACAGCGACGUACUGUCUCGGUGUUAACCUCAAAUGAAAAUCCUUCGCGACUUAACCGUGUUGUCUUUGUGUUGCAUAUUUAUCAUUGUGCUGUGAGAACUGUGCCAGUCGACAAUUAUUGUGUAUUGGGUAUAUGCAGCUGUCUGUGUUGCGAAAUUCGUGAUUUAACGUCGUUCUUAAGAAUUUACAAGUGCAUGAUCGGGGACUGUGUGAAUGAUUCUCGACGUAAACUCUAAUACCGUAAAUUCUCUUUGAUCGAGUGUCAAUGACUGUACAUAAAUAUCGAUUUGAUUGAUAUUACCUAAUUGCCUUAUACGUUUUACGUGUACUGUAUCCAUUUGACAAUGUUGACUUAUACAUUUUUCAAAAAUCAUUCGAACCUCUCUCCCUGUUAGUUUAUGACGGAGAUACACGUCGACGGUGCGACUUCUUUUUUUGUCAGCAAACACACUGUUAUCUCUCCUUACGUAUUUCUGUCUCGUCUACACCUUGACUAAUAUGUAUUUCGAAAAUAUCUUGAGCACAGAUAAUCGGUACACACUUCAGCUGUGGGUCGAUAACGUUCAGUGUGAUGUAUUGUGAUUGCACUGGAGUACUGAUGUAAUUUUCAUUGUGAUGUCCAUUAACGUACUUUAUAUGUUCGUAAACAUGGAAGAUCGAUCGGUGAUCGAUAAGAUCGUUGAUCUAAGGAAUGGUGCUUAAUGUAGUGUCUGAGGAUACAAAGUGAAGAAAAAGUUGUGCGAUAUUCUGACCAAAGAGUAUUACGCGCUGUGACUUUGUAUUAACGUGCAUCGAAACUUUGUCGAUUCGUUGAAAAUUCCGAUUCUGUAUUUGUACUUUCUCGAAAUUGCUGUCUUCGGUCGCUAUUAUUUGAAAAUUCAAAAUCUUAUCGGUAUACCCUUCUGUUUUUUCACAGUUUAUCCGGUCUGUCUUCUAUGUAUGCGAAUAUAUAUCUGUCCUCUGUAGAAAUGCCUUAAUAUCACGUGCCUCAAUUAAUAUUUAAAUUUGUUCACUUGCUUAUAUCUACUACUUAUUAGUCUAUGUAACAAAUACGUGUAAUAUCGACUUAUUCUUUGUACUGCUCUUGUAAAUACAUUAAGAAUAAUCACUGUCACUCUGUUGUCUAUGUUUACAAUGGUCUCAAGCUUGCAGUCAUGCGGUUCUUAUGUAUUUUUGUAAGAAUUUACUUAUUUCACCCAAUUCCGUCAAUAAUUUACUUAUGCAAAUAUUCCGUAUGACUGCAACUACGAAAUUCUCUGUUCACUGCUUAACACUCGUUAUCUUUCCCUUUUUCGCCUUUACAGCAAAGAAUCGGUACUGAACAAAAACUUUUGUUGGCAGACGAAAAUAAUCUUCAGAACAAAAAAAAAUGGAUGGUUUGUGUCUUUUGGCAGGCUCUUAAGAAUUUCAGACUUAAAUGGUAAGAUAACAGUUAAUUUCUUAUAAUCUAAUGGCAGACUUGUACAUGACUUGAAUUUAUUAUCCAGCAUUAAUUUUCAUAAUGAAAAAGGACUUAAUGUUUGCAUGAGAUGAAUAUAAUUGUUACUAAUCCAAUGGGAGUAUUCACUGUUCUCAAUAUGAAACUGACGAACAUAGUUUUCCCGAAUAACUGGAAUUAAUGUUUACUAUAAAUUCUCAGGUAAGGUUGACGGCUCUUGAUCAAAGGACUUCACGCAGAGAUGAAUAUAGGGAGAUUGCCAAUGAGCCGAUUUUCAUGGUCCAAGUUUUAUUUCGAUGUCGACGCGCCACCUGAUCGGAGGACCCACGAACACCCGACGUCAUUUUUGGUCAAGUAUAUGUAUAUAGUAAUACUACGUAUGAUAUUCGUGAGAUCCAUGAGACGCAUGGAUUUAUACCUGGUGGCAAUUUAAAACGUGUGUAUUCUGGUGUCGACGCUGCCACCUUGGAGCCUUGAACAAGUCUCACUUUUGUGGUUGGUAAAAAAUUAUAUUUCGAAAUUUAUUCAAAAUAUAAAAUUGGGGCUUAAGUAAAAUCUCACAAAAUACACGGAAUAGAUCAAAAUUGAACUGAACUUGUAAAGUAUUGAAAAUAAAUUGCGUUCAAACUGAAA